AGAUAAUGUAGAAAACAACUGUUGUUCCAUUUAACUCAUUACAUCUCCAUAAUACAUAUUAUUACACAAUAUAUAUCGAAACGAUCAGAACUUC